rnacentral:rRNA from 1 species
CCUACGGGGGGCAGCAGUGAGGAAUAUUGGUCAAUGGGCGAGAGCCUGAACCAGCCAAGUCGCGUGAGGGAGUACUGCCCUAUGGGUUGUAAACCUCUUUUGUCGGGGAGCAAAAGCCGGACGUGUCCGGCUGUGAGAGUACCCGAAGAAAAAGCAUCGGCUAACUCCGUGCCAGCAGCCGCGGUAAUACGGAGGAUGCGAGCGUUAUCCGGAUUUAUUGGGUUUAAAGGGUGCGCAGGCGGAUUUUUAAGUCAGCGGUAAAAUCGUGGGGCUCAACCCCAUCCAGCCGUUGAAACUGGGGAUCUAGAGUGUGCGAGAGGAAUGCGGAAUGCGUGGUGUAGCGGUGAAAUGCAUAGAUAUCACGCAGAACCCCGAUUGCGAAGGCAGCAUACCGGUGCACAACUGACGCUCAGGCACGAAAGCGUGGGUAUCGAACAGGAUUAGAUACCCUAGUAGUC